GACGAACGCUGGCGGCGUGCUUAACACAUGCCAGUCGAACGGAAAGGCCCUGCUUUUGUGGGGUGCUCGAGUGGCGAACGGGUGAGUAACACGUGAGUAACCUGCCCUUGACUUUGGGAUAACUUCAGGAAACUGGGGCUAAUACCGGAUAGGAGCUCCUGCUGCAUGGUGGGGGUUGGAAAGUUUCGGCGGUUGGGGAUGGACUCGCGGCUUAUCAGCUUGUUGGUGGGGUAGUGGCUUACCAAGGCUUUGACGGGUAGUCGGCCUGAGAGGGUGACCGGCCACAUUGGGACUGAGAUACGGCCCAGACUCCUACGGGAGGCAGCAGUGGGGAAUAUUGCACAAUGGGCGGAAGCCUGAUGCAGCAACGCCGCGUGCGGGAUGACGGCCUUCGGGUUGUAAACCGCUUUCGCCGGUGACGAAGCGUGAGUGACGGUAAUGGGUAAAGAAGCACCGGCUAACUACGUG
rnacentral:rRNA from 1 species